UAGUCCACGCCGUAAACGAUGUUAACUGGGUUUUACGAUUUAUUUGUAGGAGCCUGAGGGAAACCAUUAAGUUAACCACCUGGGGAGUACGUUCGCAAGUAUGAAACUCAAAGGAAUUGACGGGGGCCCGCACAAGCGGAGGAACAUGUGGUUUAAUUCGAUGAUACGCGAGGAACCUUACCCAGGCUUAAAUGUAGAUUGCAUUUUUUAGAGAUAGAAAUUUCCUUCACAGGACUAUUUACAAGGUGCUGCAUGGUUGUCGUCAGCUCGUGCCGUGAGGUGUCGGGUUAAGUCCCAUAACGAGCGCAACCCUUAUCGUUAGUUGCCAGCGGAUAAUGCCGGGGACUCUAGCGAGACUGCCACCGUAAGGUGAGAGGAAGGUGGGGAUGACGUCAAAAUCAGCACGGCCCUUAUGUCCAGGGGCUACACACGUGUUACAAUGGUCGGUACAAAGGGGCAGCUACUUGGUGACAAGAUGCUAAUCCUUAAAGCCGAUCCCAGUUCGGAUUGGGAGUCUGCACCGACUCCAU
rnacentral:rRNA from 1 species